GGGGUUGUGACUCAGCGGUAGACCAUCAGCUUUGCACGCGGAAAAUCCCCGGUUCAGUCCCUGGUAGCUCCA
rnacentral:tRNA from 1 species